rfam:Pteropus alecto contig21710, whole genome shotgun sequence.
GUCUACGGCCAUGCCACCCUGAACAAGCCUGAUCCUGUCUGAUCUCGGUAGCUAAGCAGGGUUGAGCCUGGUUAGUACUUGGAUGGGAGACCAUCUAGGAAGACCAGGUGCUGCAAGUG